ACAUAGCCCCGAUUGCAGUGUAAAUCCUUUUUUGGAAAAAAAGAUUGCAACGGAAAGCGGGUUGGGAU
rnacentral:sRNA from 1 species